CGCUCCUUGCAAAAUUAUUGAUGAAUAAGGAGUUCUGCCUGCCCAGUGACUUAGUUAAACGGCCGCGGUAUUUUGACCGUGCAAAGGUAGCAUAAUCAUUUGCCUCUUAAAUAGAGGCCGGUAUGAAUGGCAAGACGGAGGUUAAGCUGUCUCUUUCUUAAUACUAGAAUUUAAUAUUUUUGUGAAGAAGCAGAAAUAAAUUCGUAGGACGAGAAGACCCUAUCGAGCUUUAGUGAAUUUGUUAAUAAUUAACUAAUACAAGAAAUCUAAUUAAGUUAUAUUAUAAUACAAGAAAUUUAUUUACUUGUGUGUUAUUGUUUAAUAAAAUAGUUUUGAUUGGGGCAAUCGCGGAGUAAAAAAAGCCUCCGCUAAAAGUAUUAAAAAUUACUAUUUUUAGUAAAUGACCCGCUGUAUAGCGAGCAAAGGAAUAAGUUACCGUAGGGAUAACAGCGUAAUUUUUUUGGAGAGUUCAUAUUGAUAAAAAAGUUUGCGACCUCGAUGUUGGAUCGAGAUUUCCUAGAGAUGCAGCAGUUUCUAAGGGUUGGUCUGUUCGACCAUUAAAAUCUUACG
rnacentral:rRNA from 1 species